rnacentral:rRNA from 1 species
AUUGAACGCUGGCGGCAGGCCUAACACAUGCAAGUCGAACGAGUGGCGGACGGGUGAGUAAUGUCUGGGACACUGCCUGAUGGAGGGGGAUAACUAUUGGAAACAGUAGCUAAUACCGCAUACCAUCGGAUGUGCACAGAUUGGAUUAGCUAGUAGGGGGGGUAACGGCUAACCUAGGCGACGAUCCCUAGCUGGGCUGAGAGGAUGACCAGCCACACUGGAACUGAGACACGGUCCAGACUCCUACGGGAGGCAGCAGUGGGGAAUAUUGCACAAUGGACGCAAGCCUGAUGCAGCCAUGCCGCGUGUAUGAAGAAGGCCUUCGGGUUGUAAAGUUCUUUCAGCGGGGAGGCGGUACCCACAGAAGAAGCACCGGCUAACUCCGUGCCAGCAGCCGCGGUAAUAC